rnacentral:misc_RNA from 1 species
GAUGAAGAACGUAGUAAAAUGCGAUAAGUAAUGUGAAUUGCAGAAUUCAGUGAAUCAUCGAAUCUUUGAACGCACAUUGCGCCCGCCAGUAUUCUGGCGGGCAUGCCUGUUCGAGCGUCAUUUCAACCCUCAAGCACAGCUUGGUGUUGGGACUCGCGUUAAUUCGCGUUCCUCAAAUUGAUUGGCGGUCACGUCGAGCUUCCAUAGCGUAGUAGUAAAACCCUCGUUACUGGUAAUCGUCGCGGCCACGCCGUUAAGCCCCAACUUCUGAAUGUUGACCUCGGAUCAGGUAGGAAUACCCGCUGAACUUAAGCAUAUCAAUAAGCGGAGGA